rnacentral:rRNA from 1 species
AUUGAACGCUGGCGGCAGGCCUAACACAUGCAAGUCGAGCGGAUGAAGGGAGCUUGCUCCUGGAUUCAGCGGCGGACGGGUGAGUAAUGCCUAGGAAUCUGCCCGGUAGUGGGGGAUAAC